rnacentral:rRNA from 1 species
CCUACGGGACGCAGCAGUAGGGAAUAUUGCUCAAUGGGGGAAACCCUGAAGGAGCAACGCCGCGUGGAGGAAGAAGGCUUUAGGGUUGUAAACUCCUGUUGUUAGAGAAGAUUAUGACGGUGUCUAACGAAUAAGCAACGGCUAACUCCGUGCCAGCAGCCGCGGUAAUACGGAGGGUGCAAGCGUUACUCGGAAUCACGGGGCGUAAAGAGUGCGUAGGCGGUGUAAUAAGUCUGAUGUGAAAUCCUGUAGCUUAACUACAGAAGUGCAUUUGAAACUGUUUCACUGGAGUGUAGAAGAGGGAAGUGGAAUUCUUUGUGUAGGGGUAAAAUCCGUAGAGAUCAAGAGGAAUACUCGUGGCGAAGGCGACCUGCUGGUACACAACUGACACUGAGGCACGAAAGCGUGGGGAGCAAACAGGAUUAGAUACCCCGGUAGUC